AAUAGAUACCCGGUAGUCCACGCCGUAAACGAUGGAUACUAGCUGUUUGGAAGAAAUUCUGAGUGGCUAAGCGAAAGUGAUAAGUAUCCCACCUGGGGAGUACGGGCGCAAGCCUGAAACUCAAAGGAAUUGACGGGGGCCCGCACAAGCGGUGGAGCAUGUGGUUUAAUUCGAUGAUACGCGAGGAACCUUACCAGGGCUUAAAUGUAGAUUGACAGGCGUGGAAACAUGCUUUUCUUCGGACAAUUUACAAGGUGCUGCAUGGUUGUCGUCAGCUCGUGCCGUGAGGUGUCAGGUUAAGUCCUAUAACGAGCGCAACCCCUGUUGUUAGUUGCCAGCGAGUCAUGUCGGGAACUCUAACAAGACUGCCAGUGUAAACUGUGAGGAAGGUGGGGAUGACGUCAAAUCAUCACGGCCCUUACGUCCUGGGCCACACACGUGCUACAAUGGGCGGUACAGAGAGCAGCUACCUAGUGAUAGGAUGCGAAUCUAUAAAACCGUUCUCAGUUCGGAUCGGAGUCUGCAACUCG
rnacentral:rRNA from 1 species